rnacentral:lncRNA from 1 species
UUAUAUACUUACAGAUUGGCAACCUCUAUUGGCCACAAACAGACGAGCGAUGAACGCAACAUCUACGUGACCUCGCUAGCGCGCCUCACACUUACCCGCUUUUACGAUGCAGACCUUGAUGGCAGUAGGAGUACCUCAUACGGCUUGCGAGCGGGAUCUGGUUGCCAAAGGGUAGUCCUGAGUCUCGCGACAUUCGAUAGGUCAUCUGGCUCCUGGUUGUUCUCGCGUCACGUGUCCCACACCGAGGUGCGCAGGGGCAAGGCGGCUACAAGACCCGGGGCAUGAACAUGUGGCGGAGGGGCGCAUGCUUGCUCGGGCGGGAAGCUGGGGACCUGGCGGUCAGGCGCCGUGCUAUCACGCUGCGGAUACCGUCGUCGCCACCUGGUCGCCACGAUGUGCUGUAGCCUUGAAAGCUAUUCACACACAUCCGGGUUGCAUUGCCUGCGGCCUGGCCCCGUGCCAUUGGCGCGUGUUGUGCUCCACACUCGGCCAAACGCAGACCCUCCAGAGCUGCACUGAUGCUGCCUUACCCUGAACGGUGUAUGCGCUGUUGGCCCAGCGCAGGUGGAGGUUAUGAGGUAGGCGCAAGUUGAGACCGUGUGGCGUGCCCUGCACUCCGGUGGGCGCAGCGCCAGCUAGCCAGCCUAGGCCUGCAGAAGGCCAGCCUAGGCCUGCAGCAGGCCGGACGCGGUGUUUGCGACAUCGACGUGCCCAGGGGUGUGCCUCUGCGAGCAGGUGAGGGGGGGCGUGGGAGCGGGGGGCUGGAUGGAGGGUUUGGCGGGCGGGUGAGCAACCGACGCGACAGGAAGGCAGCCAGGGGCAGCGAGGGAUGGCAGGCGCUGCAGGAGCAGGGCUGGCAGCGGAGAUGCAUUGGGGCAGCUGGCGCUCAGAAUAUACCGUAAUAUGGAUAACGAAGUGCUUGCGAGUGAAUGCGAAUGCAAGACGCCGUCGCGAGCUCCAGGCUAGCAAUAAACAUCACGAAAGAAGUUAGUGUCAGCGGCAAUGCGGUUACUUGUUACCUUCGAGACGAGACACCGGUGCGCGCUCCACGCUGCUCCGCAUUCGGCACGCCAAACGGAGUCCGAGUGUCGUGGAGACUGCUGCCGCUUGCAGGGGCGGACGCGUUCCAGCUCGCAACUAGGCUGCUGCCAUUCGCCGCGACAACGCGAAACCCACAAAAUGCACCCACCUGGAACGGAGCCAGGCAUCCGCGGGCGCCCAUGGAGCAUAUGCGUGGGCAAGCGGAAAGAAACGGGAGAAGAAAGAAGCGGCGUGGCGGAUGUCAGUAGCCGAUGCCGGGCAAAGCUGCCGAGCAAGUGAAGCAGGGUGGCUGCCUAGCUGGGGCCGGGCUGAUUAGAGGGCUGAACGGCGGCUGCACCGGGCGAGCUGUACUGGUAGUAUGUACUGGCGCCGGCCAAGCGUGGUAAGUAUGGGCGCCGCUGCAUGGAUCCCGCCCCCAUGUGCCGCGGCGAGGCUGGCGACGAUGCAGUGGCGUACAGCUGACAGCUGAGACGGACGGGCGCGGACCGCUGUGCGGUUCCCCACACCCGUCCAGGGACCGGCCCACGCACGGUGCAGCGGGGCCGGCCGGGUGGGGGAACCGUGCUGACAGCUGAGUGGGCGGCGGGCGGAGGGCUGGCCGAGCUCGGUGCGUGUCCACGGCAUGUACCCGAAACCGCUGAAAAGCCAAACCAAGAAACAAAUUCUCCAGAACCAAAUAACCAAGGUGUAAGACGACGACGACCCGUCCGCGCAGUGCUGCAAUCGCGUGCAUGCGGCCGCGUGAAUGCUCAGGCUGCACCCGCAAGCGGGAGGCUCGCCAGUUCCAAACGCUCGAGGGCGGAACCUCGAGUGGGUCCCUGCCACUGGGCAACAGAUACCGGCGUGAACUUGCCGGGGCCCAGGGGCGAUUAUCCCUGAUACGCCCUGUUAACGAAGUGCUUGCGAGUGAAUGCGAAUGCAAGACGCCGUCGCGAGCUCCAGGCUAGCAAUAAACAUCACGAAAGAAGUUAGUGUCAGCGGCAAUGCGGCAAUGGAUAUCCAAUGGCACGGUGCAACAGAUGGCGGGACAAAGCGUUGGGAUGGAGGACACGGAGGAAGGGGUUUGCUUGCUGUUGUUGCUAGCGGUAUUGAGGAGGAGGUGACGGCGGUGAUGCUUUUGUGCGUCGGCUGCUUUACGCUACGAUUUUGAUUUGCCAUUGGCUUUGGUUUUUUUCAGCGCAGCUACUGUAGGCCUGAAUAUAGAGAGCCAAAAUCACCGAUUUGUCAUCCAGGUUCAGAGCUAGAGCCCCGCAACCCGGGGAGGCAGCGCGAGAGUGCUGUGGUCCUAUGGCUUAAUGGAUAAAGCGCCGGUCUACGGAGAUACACGUUGACAACCGGAGAUUCCAGGUUCGAUCCCUGGUAGGAUCGUUUUGGGCUCUGAUUGAACGUGCGUGAGUGCCACAGAGCUGCCUCUGUAAGCCCGCAAUCAUAUGUUUUGGAAAUCCGCCUAUAUCCGCCUCGCCCCGCCAGUUACCCCGCCAGUUACGUUUGAGGCCGUGUUAGGGGUGCUGAGCAAAAUCGCGCGCAUGCCCGUGUCCAUGUUUGGUCGGGCGGCCGCGGCGUCGGCUUAUGCUUUGGGCAAGGUCCUGUAUCAUUUGGAAUUUGCGGGUCUUCCCCAACUAUACGUUGUUGACCGCCUGCUAGCCAGGGUAGCGGCGGUGGUGGACCGGUGGCUGUCGCCGGCCCAGUUUGAUGCCAACCCCCAGGCACGCCCGCCUGGCCUCUCCAUUGAACUUAUGCAACUGCCUCCGGCGGUGGGGGGGCGGGCCUGUUACCGCUGGUGCCGCAUGUGAAAGCCCUGGACUCGCGGUAUGGUGUGUGUUGGGUGUGUGUGGUCUGCUGCCGUACGUGCCCCCGUGGACCCGGGUCGUGGCGGCGUGGCUGCGCCAGGUGCACCCGGCGGCAACGCCCCUGCGGUUGUUGGUGCGGGGAGCCGCGGACCGUGUGCUAAAUAAGCCGCUCACCCCGGCGGGCAAGCCGUUUGCGCGUCUGCUGAAGGCCAUGACUGAAUUGCCCGCGGUGACUCUUGUGGCGCCGCCCGAGCCAGGCGCGUGGGUGAGUCAUGUGCCAUUGUGGGCUAACCCGGCGCUGUGUGAGGACGGCCGCACGUGGGAAGUGGCUUUCGCGGAUUUGUUCGCUCUGCCGGGACUGGCGUGUGGGCCAGCUGGUUGCAGCGCAUGACGGCCUGAACGAACUGCGGCAGGCAUGUACACGCCCUUGGGCGUGGGGCUCCCGGUGAAGCGUGUGAAAUGUAUGUGACUGCUGUGUGGCGCGGGUGCUGCACUGGAGUACGCGGGCGCGCCUGCCGUCGCCCCUGCCGGGGCCGGCGUCGCCUCAACAGGCGGCCGACCGGUUUGCGGCGGCGGUGGCCCUUCUCCCCGCUGGCUGGGCUGCCGCCGCGCGUGCGGCCCAGCUGGCUCGGGGGCCUGCCGCCACGCUGCCUGAAGCAAGCGGCAGCGGGGGUAGGGCGGGGCGGCAUGCGAGUGGUUCUGUGCGUGCGCGGGUGCGGCGUGGCGGCGUGGGCGUGAUCACAUUAACGUGAGCCGGAUAUUGGCCGGAUGAAGGUCUGCAUGCUGUGUGCUGAGAUGGCAGCUAGCCUGGUUUUGCUGAAAGACUCUCGUUUCUUACUUCAUUGUGCAGUCAGGCAGUAGUGUUAGUGGGUAGUCAAGCGUUGGCUUAAUGGGCUGGUUGCCUUCGAGGUGCUUGGUGGUGUGUGUGGCGUGGUGCUGGGGCUGCUGGUGAGCAUUCGUGUGUUGGGUCGUUCUCCGGCCAUUUUGCAUAAGUGGUGGUGUCCCUUGCCUGCGGGGGUUGCAAUAUGUGUGCGACGCGGGUGUGUCGGGGGUGGAGGCUGCCCUGGCGGCGGGGGCCUUCGUGUGCACCUUGGCCCGCUUGUGGUCGCUGAAAUGGGAGAAUCAUCACAAGGAAGCACUGUGGCGUGUGGCCGCCAACGCUUGCUGGGCGUUUCCACGGCAUGCUAGCGAGCGGGCGCGAGGCGUUGCUGUUGACCCGUGUUGGGCGUGUGGGGUUGACAUGCAGGAUGGGGACCGGCGUCGCUGGUUUUGGGACUGCACUGUUGCGCUGUCCCUGCGGGAAAACAUGGGGAUGGCUAUGGGUUUCAUGUCAGAGGAUGCUCUAAGUGCCUUCUCUCGUGAGGAGUUGUGGUUAAUGCGCCCGCCUGCGGGGCUUGCGCCACCUGUGUGGGAUGUGGUGUGUCUCGCUGCUAUGUCUGCCCUGGACUUUGGUCGGCAGCGUGUGGUUAUGGCCGGGCUGGCGACCCGGGUGCUGAGCAUUGGACUUGCUGUCGUAGCUGACUUCUGGGGUCGUCUCCAGACGUUUGUGACUUUGGGUAUCAGGCCAAAGGGUUGGGACACUGUGCCGUCUGCGCAUCCUUUCCUCUCUCGGGCUGUUGGUGAAGGCAUGGUAUUGCGCUUGCCGUAUGACGCUGAUUCCCCGCCUCCCUCGCCGUGAGAGGUUGUGCGUGGUUGGUGGCUUUGUGUGUGGGCAGGAUGCACGUGUGGGCGACCGUUCUAGUACCUGGACGCUUGCGCCCUGGUUAGUGCGUGCGCUGUGCGUGUGUGCUGCGGCCUAGACGUUUCCCGGCACUCCUGUGCCUAGGCUUGUGGCGUUGAGGCACAGCGGUGGGGCUCUGGCGGGUUGAGGCUUGGCUAGGACUCACUGUGCGCGGAGUCACACGGACUUUGACCGCGGGAGGGUUUGCAGCAAAGUCGGGGUUGGUGGAGUCAAGUUGGGCCCUGAUAGCAUGUGAUGGCUCGGCGUCUUUGGGUGCUGGGACUGUCCCCUCUGUAUGUAACAUCCGCAUUCAUAACCUCCGUCCAGGCCUCCAGGGGUCUUGCACCGGCUCCAGUCCCUGCCUGUUCCUGCUUCUGUCCUUCUUGGCCUGCCUGCCUGCCUGUUCCGAGCUGCCUGUCAUGCGUGUCUGCGGCUGCUGCCCAAGCUGCUGCCAUCAGGCGAGGCCCUGUGCCCUGUGCCCUGUGCAAACGGGGUCUGUGAAGCAGCACACUGCAGCAGCUCCUCCUUUUCUAGUGACGGGCGCAUCGACUGCAAUGCCGUUGCCCCUUCCCUGGCCCUACCUCCGCCUCCCGCCCCCACCUAUUCUCUUGCCCACGGUCCAGCCCUGCCCGCCUGCUUUCACGCAGUGCCAUGUCAUGCACCACCUCUGCCUUGAAAGCUUGUGAUGGGGCCGAGCGCUACUGAUACGGCAGGGUGUGCACAACGUAACGAUACCCCGGAGUAAAAGCGGAGGGGGCUUGGUUGCGCCGGUGGGCUGCAUGACGUGGAGUUGUGGACCCCCAACCCCCCGCCCGGGCGCACCCCGCCCCCAGCCGCUCCCUCGCCCACCCCCGCCCGUUGCCCUGCCUGCGCGCCAGGUUGUUACCUGCCCCCAGCUCAGCAAAGAUGCAAGUCACGCCUCCUCUUGGCCAUUCUUGCAGAGCUGUCAGGUCGUGGAUGUGUGCGCGUCUUUGCCGCCUGACACCUCAGCUCACCAGCACUAGCGACUACAACGUCUCAUGGUGUCGAGCACAUCCGCGUUCGCGUUUCGAAAGCACUUCGCCACCAGCAGGCCUGCGCAAGCUAUUGCUCCAGGGCGGCGGUUGAGUGGGCGUACGGCAAACGCUCCAGUGGCUGUAUCUAGGGCGCGUGCGCGUGCAGCUAAGUGCCCUCCGCGGCUAUGCUACAAUGCUACAGCCUGUGCUAUUCACGUGCACACACGAGUAACCACACACGUGUAACCACACACAACAACGUGCAACCACGGCUUGCUAUCUACCGUACAGCCCAAGGGGGGGGGGUAAGGAUGCCACAGACACACCCCGCCCUUCCAAGUGAAAGCGCUUGACGACAGCUUUCAGAAUCCGCUUUCAGGACUUUAUCCAGGGUCGUGAUUGCGGAGUUAUAAAUGCGACGUUACAAGAACUUCUUCGCUUGUGUUGCGUUUUUUCAAGCACGUCGAUUACGUCGAUAAAAGGGACAGACCGUCCAAGCAAGGGUGCCCAGCACCCAGGUCAGGAGGGAACCAUCUCCGGCCCGAAGGGAAACCGCCCUUCCCCCAGCUCGCUGCCGACCUUCACCAAACCGUGCAUUGUUUCUGUGCAAAAAGCGUGUCUCAGCUUCUACACCGGCAUAAGUCGAAGCGGAAGGUCCUUGGGACGGUUCUACAGGGGCAGGUUGAGGGGGCCCAGCACGCGAUGAGCCCGCCAAAUUUUGACGAGCACUGGAUUCAGCUAAGCUCCAGCUUUUGCUCUGUACACUUCCAUUAUAUACUUACAGAUUGGCAACCUCUAUUGGCCACAAACAGACGAGCGAUGAACGCAACAUCUACGUGACCUCGCUAGCGCGCCUCACACUUACCCGCUUUUACGAUGCAGACCUUGAUGGCAGUAGGAGGACCUCAUACGGCUUGCGAGCGGGAUCUGGUUGCCAAAGGGUGGUCCUGACUCCUGAGCCUCGCCGGGUCAUCUGGCUCCUGGUUGUCCUCGCGUCAGUGUCCCACGCCGAGGUGCGCAGGGGCAAGGCGGCUACAAGACCCGGGGCAUGAACAUGUGGCGGAGGGGCGCAUGCUUGCUCGGGCAGGAAGCUGGGGACGUGGCGGUCAGGCGCCGUGCUAUCAGGCUGAGGAUACCGUCGUCGCAGCGUCGCUACGAUGUGCUGUAGCCUUGAAAGCUGUUCACAUACAACCCGGGCUGCAUUGCCUGUGGCCUGGCCCCGUGCCAUUGGCGCGUGUUGUGCUCCACACUCGGCCAAACGCAGACUCUCCAGAGCUGCACUGAGGCUGCCUUACUUACCCCUGAACGAUGUAUGCGCUGUUGGCCCAGCGCAGGUGGAGGUUAUGAGGCACGGUGCAUGGGCGCACGAUGAGACCGUGUGGCGUGCCCUGCACUCCGGUGGGCGCAGCGCCAGCUAGCCAGCCUAGGCCUGCAGCAGGCCAGCCUAGGCCUCCAGCAGGCCGGAUGCGGUGUUUGCGACAUCGACGUGCCCAGGGGUGUGCCUCUGCGAGCAGGUGAGGGGGGGCGUGGGAGCGGGGGGCUGGAUGGCAGGGUUUGGCGGGCGGGUGAGC